AAAGAGGCCCAUCAGGAGACUGUGUCCUCAGGGAGUCCCGAGAAGGACACAUUCCAGAUGGAGGAUCUGCUCUGUCCACACAGCUGCCGAGUGAGGGGCCCUGGUCCUACUUCACAGCUCACCAAACCCUUGGAAUUUCCUGAGUGCUGAGAGUGACAAAUGUUCAUGAGUCACUCAGGCUGAGGGGAGGCCCACAAAGGAAAAAACGGAGGCCAGUGAGGAACUAAGGCCCUCAGUCCAACAGCCCUAAGGAACUGAAUCCUGCCAACAACCAUGUGAGUGAGUUUGGAUGUGGAGCCUCCCUGAGCUGAACCUUCAAAUAGGACCUUGACUCUGGCCAAGUUCAGCCUGGAGAGAGACCCCGACAGAGGACAGCAAGGCUGUGUCUAGGUUCCUGACCCAUAGAAACUGUGAUAACAUGUGUUUAAGGUAGCGAUGGAUCAUCUCCUCUGUGGAAUGGACUUGAAGUGCCUGCCUCCAGGGUUGCUGCAGGAAUCUAAUGGGAGUGUAUCUGGAGAGGCUUUGAAAGCUAGAGCAUCACACAAGUGCUGUUAUUAGCUGAGCAUCUUCCCCAGGAGUAGAUUUCAUCUCAAGAAACCACUUUCUUUGCUCAUCCAUAAGAAAGAUCUAUCCAUAAGAAGCACCUCCUCAUGCAUUAGACUUUUACUAUGAGAUAGCAGCAGUUCAGUCACGUCUUUGGGCUCCACUUCUAAUUCUAGUUCUCUUGCUGUUUCUACUACAUCUGCAGUGACUUCUUCCACUGAAGUCUUCAACCCCUCAACAUCAUCCAUGAGGGCUGAAAUUAAGUCCUUCCACAUGCUGGUUAAUGUUCAUACUUGGACCUCUUCCUAUGAGUCAUGUAUGUUCUUAAUGGCAUCUAGAAUGGGGAUUCCUUUCCAGAAAGUUUUCAAUUAUUUGCCCAGAUCCAUCAGAGGAAUCACUACCUAUGACAGCUAUAGUCUUAUGAAAUGUAUUUCUCAAAUAAUUAGACUUGAAAAUCAAAAGGAAAAAACAACCAUUCAAAAUUUAUGGGUUGCUACAAAAGCAGUUCUUAGAGGGAAAUUCGUAGCAACACAGGCUUUCCUCAAAAAAGGAAAAUCUCAAAUCAACAAUUUAACCUAUUACCUAAAGGAAUUAGAAAAAGAAGAACAAACAAAACCUAAAGUCAGCAGAAGGAAGGAAAUCAUAAAGAUUGGAGAGGAAGUCGAUAAAAUAGAGAUUCAAAAAAACAACAGAGGAGUUCCCGAUGUGGCACAGUGGUUAACGAAUCCAACUAGGAACCAUGAGGUUGUGAGUUCGAUCCCUGGCCUUGCUCAGUGGGUUAAGGAUCUGGCGUUGCCAUGAGCUGUGGUGUAGGUCGCAGACGUGGCUCGGAUCUGACAUUGCUGUGGCUGUGGCUGUGGCAGGCAGCUACAGCUCCGAUUAGACCCCUAGCCUGGGAACCUACAUAUGCUACUGGAGCAGCUCAAGAAGAGGCAAAAAGACAAUCAAUCAAUCAAUCAAAUCAAAUCAAAUCAAUAAAACCAAGAUCUGGUUCUUUGAAAGGGUAAACAAAAUUGACAAACCUCUGGCCAGAAUCACCAAGAAGAGGAGAGACAAAACCCAAAUAAACAAAAUAAGAAA